AGUGAACGCUGGCGGCAGGCCUAACACAUGCAAGUCGAACGGCAGCGCAGCAGUAGCAAUACUGUGGGCGGCGAGUGGCGGACGGGUGAGGAAUACAUGGGAAUCUACCCUGUCGUGGUGGAUAACGUAGGGAAACUUACGCUAAUACCGCAUACGACCGAGAGGUGAAAGCGGCGGACCGCAAGGCGUCGCGCGAUUGGAUGAGCCCAUGUCGGAUUAGCUAGUUGGCGGGGUAAAGGCCCACCAAGGCGACGAUCUGUAGCUGGUCUGAGAGGAUGAUCAGCCACACUGGAACUGAGACACGGUCCAGACUCCUACGGGAGGCAGCAGUGGGGAAUAUUGGACAAUGGGCGCAAGCCUGAUCCAGCCAUGCCGCGUGAGUGAAGAAGGCCUUCGGGUUGUAAAGCUCUUUUGUCCGGAAAGAAAAGCCAUCGGUUAAUACCCGGUGGUGAUGACGGUACCGGAAGAAUAAGCACCGGCUAACUUCGUGCCAGCCGCCGCUGUAAGAC
rnacentral:rRNA from 1 species